rnacentral:rRNA from 1 species
GACGAACGCUGGCGGCGUGCUUAACACAUGCAAGUCGAACGGUGAAGGGGCCUGCUUUUGUGGGUCCUGGAUGAGUGGCGAACGGGUGAGUAACACGUGAGUAACCUGCCCCCUUCUUCUGGAUAACCGCAUGGAAGUGUGGCUAAUACGGGAUAUUCUGUGCCUGCUGCAUGGUGGGUGUGGGAAAGAUUGCGCCCUUUUUGGGUGUUUUUGGUGGGGGAUGGGCUCGCGGCCUAUCAGCUUGUUGGUGGGGUGAUGGCCUACCAAGGCGGUGACGGGUAGCCGGCCUGAGAGGGUGGACGGUCACACUGGGACUGAGACACGGCCCAGACUCCUACGGGAGGCAGCAGUGGGGAAUAUUGCACAAUGGGCGCAAGCCUGAUGCAGCGACGCCGCGUGAGGGAUGGAGGCCUUCGGGUUGUGAACCUCUUUCGCCAGUGAAGCAGGCCUGCUCCUU